AAUUUUGUGUUACGUUUAUCGAGUAACUUUCUCAUUUUAUAAAACUGACAGUCACAUUUAAAGGGGUUUGCUGAUAUAUUAACAUAAACUAGUUUGUUGAGAGUUCUAGCAGAAGCAUAACACUCGUUAGUCAGCUGUUGAUCUGGGAAUAUUUCUGUAAAUACACUGAUAUUUAGAUUUUUGAAUUUGUUCCUGUCUAAUCUAAUGUGUUCAAGAUUUGGCGCACACCAGAAUGCAUCUUUGGAUAUUUGGGCUAAAUUACAGGAACUCAAUUCUAAAGUCCUUAAAUUUGGCGUUUCUAUGAAGUGUCCGUUCCCUGGUAACUUUAACAUUUUGUUGUUAGAGAGACUGAGCCUUGUUAAGUUCCUGGCAUAACUAAACGUCCAUGGGUGUAGAGUAGUAAGUUUGUUGUUUGAUAAAUUCAAUUCAUUUAGGUGAGUUAAACCGUUGAAUGCAAGUACUUCAAUUGAAGCAAUUAAAUUAUGCGACAAAUUGAGAGAACGUACCUUUACCAAUAAACAGUUCUCAGCUAACGUGUAGUUCUUUAACGCUGUGAUGUUGUUGAAUGAAGCAUCAAGCUCCCUUGUGUAGACGUUGAAGCCGUAUGGAAUUUCCGUCAAUGCUGCCUCUUUACAGAUGACAGAGAUCAUCUUAGGUGAUUCAGGUGCACUCUGACAGGUGCACGGCGUUGGGCACUUGGGUGCGCAUGUGAAUUCCUCUAUUACGAUGAGCGUAAGUACGAUGUAUUUCUUGUAAAUCGACAUUUUCUGUUAAGAUCUACGAAAGAUAAGUAUUUGAUCCUGGAGAGACUGUUAAAAUGAUUGGUAAAGUACCUUUGUAUUUCAUCUAAUGUUUGGUAAAGUUAUUGAUUAUUACUAGCCGCUUAUUUGAAAGCAAAUUUUGGUAAUAAAGUGUAAAUAAAGCUGUUACAGUAAACGUCAGAGAUCUUAGGUGAUUCUGGUGCACUCUGACAGGUGAACGGCGUUGGGCACUUGACUGCGCUUGUGAAUUCUUGUGUUACGAUGAGCGUAAAUAUGAGAUGUUUCUUGUAAUUCGACAUUUUCUGUUGAGCUCUGCAAAAGCUCCCGAAAUGUUCGUGCCGAGACUGAUGUCACCUCAUUUGAAUGAUAUGAUCGAGAAACUAAGUGGUCUAAAGGCUUUACCUGUUAUAUGUAUGAUGCUCUUAUAAUGAUAAGAUUGUAUGAUAAGGAUGAUGAAAUGAUGAAACGUGACAUACGAUCUUUAAAGAAAGUGAAGAUUGUUCAGGAAUGUAGAGUAAAGUUCAGCCGUCCUGCUACACGGCACGUAGGUCGUUUGAGGGGGCGGUAUAGCUCCUCUCUUCCUUGACCUCGGCACUAGAUACGGGUGAGUGGUCGGCAUCAAUGCUCGGACGCGCUUUACCUCCGGGAAACAACACCGAUACCCAUUGAGUAGAAGGCAGGGUGGGCCCUAGAGCCGGUCUGGACGCAGAGGCUAGAGGAAAAAUCCUCAGCCCCCGUCGGGGAUGAAAACCAUAGCUAGUCAUUAUUUCAACUGAAUUAUCCCGGCUCCCAUGUUUAAUGUGUUGAUAAGUUUAUUAAUUUCACAGAGAGAAAUAUCCUUAAAGAAAUAUGGCAUUGAUGCUGUGCUUGGUGCCAUACCAGGAAAAUUUGUAAAGCUCAUUCCAAAAUUGGGUGUAACGGAUCGUAAUUUCGAAGAAGUGCGAUGCUUAUAAAGCACUAAAAAGAUCAAUAUUUAUUCUAGGUAAACCUUAAUUAUUUGUAAUGAUGCAUUUUGUACGGAAUUAAAGGAGUGUAGAAAGGGUUAAAGGUAUUGAGGAUUUCGUGGUUUACCACAUGUAUAAAAUCGGUUUUCAGGGUUAUUGGCGUUUCAAAGGUGCAUGCUGCCUCCAGCAUCAUGAGUCAUCGAUCUGUUGCAUCUGAAACGUCGGUGAACAUUUAGAAGGUUACAGUAGGCAACAAUUCAGAAUUGGAUUCUAUAGUGUUCUGACGAUGGUGUGAUAUAGUAGGAGUUGUUGGGUUUUUCUAAACGUCGUGUCAACAAUCCGAAAGUCAAGUGUCUCUGGUUAAUCCAACUACGCUGUUAUUUUGACGAAUUGAUAACAACCAUGAUAAUUUAUUGAUUUAAUCGUUUCCCUUUUUAACUGUUUUUUAGAUAUUUAUUCAUAUUUUUAAUUGCAUUGUAUUAAUUAUGUUUACUCUCCAUCUAGAAACGAAGUGUGGUUGUUGGAAGCUGUGUAGACUAAGUGAAAUCGAAUUUUGAUUUGUUUAGAGAAUCCAAGUGAUGUACCUGACACAUACGUUUAAGUUACUCUUACUGGCGAUAUUCUGUACCGAGUGUUUAUGUUGCCCUUCUGAUUGCAGAUGUGAAGCCAAAGACAGAGUGGUGAACUGUAGUGGAUCCGGGCUGUCUGAGCUACCACGCUCAGGAUACAACAGACACACGAAGACUAUUGAUGCGUCUGGUAACAAAAUAGAAAAUCUUAGAAACCACACUUUUUCUCGUCUUAAUAUAAUUGCUCUGGAAGCAUUGUAUUUGAAUUGCAAUGUAAUAGUGACAAUUGAACCUAGAACGUUUGUCGGGCAAGGAACGUUGAAAGUCUUGGAUCUCUCAGAAAACAAUAUCACAUUUAUACACCCAGAUACUUUCGUGUUUACCGACAAUCUGGAAGAACUCUUACUGGCAGAGAAUCCUUUUUUGAAUCUGGAUGAAAAUGAGUUUCGGAUCAGUACACUUACAUUUAUAGAUUUAAGCUCUUGCGGUUUAAAUCGGAUUCCCACUGAUUCCCUUCCAAAUUCAACAGAUGGUUCUCUACAAAUAGAUUUUCGCUACAAUAAUUUAAUUUCCAUCAGCGAUGACUCAGUGGAUGCUCAAAAAUGUGAUAAUGAAUGAAAAACCAGUGUUUGGAAUCUGUUACUUUUGUGACAGAUUGUAAUAACGUAAAUUUGAAAGCGGCGUGUGUUCAGUCAAGGCUCCAAAUGGAAUGCAGCGGAAGACAACGAAGGUGAUUUGCUUGGAAUGUUAAAAUUUCAUGUAAUAUUUACUUUAAUUGGUAGCCUAUAGAUAUAUAAAUAUUUAAAUGAU